AGGGGUGCAGCCUGCUAAGCUGCUGUGGUUAUCAUGUGGGACAUCAGAAAAAAAUUCUUUUCAGAAAGAGCGGUGCUGCAGUGGCACAGGCUGCCCAGGGAGGUGGUGGAGUCACCAUCCCUGGAGGUGUUCCAGAGCUGUGUGGAUGUGGCACUGAGUACAUGGCCAGUGGGCAUGGUGGGGAUGGGCUGAUGGUUGGACCAGGUGAUCUUAGAGGUGGUUUUCCUCCCACAAAAAAACUGCUUUUUCAUGACAAGGCUGAGCAGUUGAAACAUCUUAUUUUUGUGUGUACCAUACAGCCUUGUUAGAACUUGGCUGAUAAAUGUCCAAGAGAUUCAAGGGGUCAGGAUGUCUCCCUAGGCAUUGUCCUGGAGGAAGAAGUAAGCAUGCUGCAUCUGGGGUGGGAGAGGCUGAGUAGUGCUCCAGGAAACAGGCAGGACCAUGGAGGGCUGGAAGCCUGAUGUUGCUCCAGCAAGGAGAAGGACAAGGCAGUCUGGAUUAGCAGACAGUGGGAGAGGAGUUUAUGGGACUCUAGGACGAAUAAAUCUCAAGCGGAGGGGUCUGAAAGCCAAAGGGAGAGAAAAGAGGGGGGAAAGAAAAGGGAAGGGAAUAGAAAGUGCUUUUCUUAUUGUGAGAGAAACCUCCCUGGUCCUCUUCUAGCUACCAAGAACAAUGCUGUUGAGUGCGUUUCUUCAGAUUAUGGAGGAAAAUGUCCAAAAUAGCAUAAGGUAAGGUCAAACACUUGCUCCACGUAAGAGCACUAUCAAAAAACAUAUGCUGUGUUGGGUUAUCACCAAUUAGCAAUUGCUUCCACUGUGGCAAUUUGUCUCUGAAUCAUGAUACUUCCAGGAUGAGGAAUAUGUGGAGAUUAAUUGUGAGUUACACACAUCUGAAGUGUUUAUGUAAAUAUGUACUGUUAAUAAUAACAGCAACAAUAAUGACAAUAGAGAAUCC
ensembl:lncRNA